CCUACGGGAGGCAGCAGUGGGGAAUAGUGGGCAAUGGGCGCAAGCCUGACCCAGCAACGCCGCGUGAAGGAAGAAGGCUUUCGGGUUGUAAACUUCUUUUGGCAGGGAAGAGGAGAAGACGGUACCUGACGAAUAAGCCACGGCUAACGACGUGCCAGCAGCCGCGGUAAUACGUAGGUGGCAAGCGUUGUCCGGAUUUACUGGGUGUAAAGGGCGUGUAGCCGGGUUGACAAGUCAGAUGUGAAAUCCUGCGGCUUAACCGCAGAACUGCAUUUGAAACUGUUGAUCUUGAGUACUGGAGUGGCAGCUGGACUUCCUAGUGUAGCGGUGACAUGCGUAGCUAUUAGGCGGCACACCAGUGGC
rnacentral:rRNA from 1 species